rnacentral:lncRNA from 1 species
UAGAAUUCUCUAUAGAGCUCCUAUGCUUUUAAAAGCACCAAGUUAUUGGUGCUUGUAGAUUUUUAGCCAUUGGAUUAAGAGAUAUGCGGUUAGGAUGAUGUGGACCCCCUAGGGUUGAGUGGGUGGUUGGUUGAAUAGUAUAAUCUAAUGGUUGAAAAUGAUCCGAGAAGUAGAUCUAACGGUAAAAAACUUACAAGCACCAAGUGUUUGGUGCUUUUACAAGUACCAUAGCUGGACUAUAUAUAUAUAUUCGUGGAAACUUUA